GGGGGUGAACGGUUUCGACUCUGGAGGUUGAUGUAGGGGAAGCGUGCCGGUGCAGGCGAGAGACCACCGCAAGCGUCGUCGCAAACGAAUAAGCGCCGAGAACACUCAGCGCGACCAGCUGGCCCAGAGCCAGUACGCCCUCGCUGCCUAACAGCGACGGCGGGUCUGUCGAUCCGGGAUUGCCUUCGGCCCGGCCAUCGGCAUCAUUGAGGAGGCUUACCAUCGUUCUCGGCCAUCGGGGAACGGCUGGAACAUCCACAGGUGGCUGGGCUCAUCAUCUCGGCAAGUCUGCGUGACCGAGAGGGCCGAGCAGAGAUGUAGUGGACUGCGCACGGAGAAGCACUACUGAGACGACAGAGGACCCGGGUUCGAUUCCCGGCACCUCCACAC
rnacentral:tmRNA from 1 species